rnacentral:rRNA from 1 species
UGAGGAAUCUUCCACAAUGGGCGAAAGCCUGAUGGAGCGACACCGCGUGAAGGAUGAAGCCUUUGUUGGUGUAAACUUCUUUUCUCUGGGAAGAUAAUGACGGUACCAGAGGAAUAAGGGGCGGCAAACUUCGUGCCAGCAGCCGCGGUAAUACGAAGGCCCCAAGCGUUAUCCGGAAUUACUGGGCGUAAAGCGUCUGUAGGUGGUUUUUUAAGUCUUUCCGUGAAACUUCAGGGCUCAACCCUGAAUUGCGGGAGAAACUGGAAAACUAGAGUGUGGGAGGGGGAAGCAGAACGGUAAGAGUAGGGGUGCAAUCCGUUGAUACUUACCAGAAUACCAAAAGCGAAGGCAGCUUCCUGGAACACUACUGACACUGAGAGACGAAAGCGUGGGGAGCAAA